rnacentral:rRNA from 1 species
GCCUACCAUGCAAGUCGAGCGGCAGCACGGGAAGCUUGCUUCCUGGUGGCGAGCGGCGGACGGGUGAGUAAUGCAUAGGAAUCUGCCCGGUAGUGGGGGAUAACCUGGGGAAACCCAGGCUAAUACCGCAUACGUCCUACGGGAGAAAGCAGGGGCUCUUCGGACCUUGCGCUAUCGGAUGAGCCUAUGUCGGAUUAGCUGGUUGGUGAGGUAAUGGCUCACCAAGGCGACGAUCCGUAGCUGGUCUGAGAGGAUGAUCAGCCACAUCGGGACUGAGACACGGCCCGAACUCCUACGGGAGGCAGCAGUGGGGAAUAUUGGACAAUGGGCGCAAGCCUGAUCCAGCCAUGCCGCGUGUGUGAAGAAGGCCCUCGGGUUGUAAAGCACUUUCAGUGGGGAAGAAAGCCUGGUGGUUAAUACCCGCCAGGAAGGACAUCACCCACAGAAGAAGCACCGGCUAACUCCGUGCCAGCAGCCGCGGUAAUACGGAGGGUGCGAGCGUUAAUCGGAAUUACUGGGCGUAAAGCGCGCGUAGGUGGCUUGAUAAGCCGGUUGUGAAAGCCCCGGGCUCAACCUGGGAACGGCAUCCGGAACUGUCAGGCUAGAGUGCAGGAGAGGAAGGUAGAAUUCCCGGUGUAGCGGUGAAAUGCGUAGAGAUCGGGAGGAAUACCAGUGGCGAAGGCGGCCUUCUGGACUGACACUGACACUGAGGUGCGAAAGCGUGGGUAGCAAACAGGAUUAGAUACCCUGGUAGUCCACGCCGUAACGAUGUCGACUAGCCGUUGGGUCCUUCGCGGACUUUGUGGCGCAGUUAACGCGAUAGUCGACCGCCUGGGGAGUACGGGCCGCAAGGUUUAAAACUCAAAUGAAAUUGGACCAGAGC